rnacentral:lncRNA from 1 species
AUGUUUUGACAUAAUUUGUUGUAUGGUGCUGCUGCUAUUUAAAGGUGGACAUUUUAUUAUAAUUUCAAUAUUAUAUAAUAUAUAGGUCAAACAAGGCUGUACCUUAUUUCAAUAAUAUAUUUAUCUGACCAUUACAUAAUAUAACAAUUUUUUAACUGCUGAUAUUAUAUCUAUAAAUCAUGUGCCAAUUAAACCUAUUCAAUAUCAUUUCAAAUGCUGCUUCAUAUAUAACAUUUUACAUAUUUAAAAAAAUAGAUUGUAUUCCAGUAUAUUACCUCAAUUUCAAAACAUUGAAAUCCGAUAUUCAUAAAUCACAAGUUUCAGAUCAAAAGAUAUCAGAUGUUCUGCUUAUUCGUUUGACGCAAUAGCUCGGUAUUUGUAAAGGUGCAAUAUUUGAUUUACAUCAGUCAUCUGAAUAUAGAUAUAGAAAAAAUUCCCUAUUUGUUCAAAGUUUUCAGCUUUAAAUUUUGAUUUUUCAAAUUUUGUCAAUGUGUUCAUACUAUAUCUUGCCAUAACUUAAAGACCAGUGAAUCAUUUUCAUUCACAGCGUAGAAUGCCGUAGAUAUAUGUUUUAGCAAUAUGUACCAAAAGACAUACAAUCCAAGAACUCAAUAUAUUUUUCUGGAUGAAAAUUCACGUUUUUCUCAAAACAAACUAGGGUUAAAAAUUCUGUACUUUUGAUUUUCAUUAGGUCAUAAAAGUUGGUUAACUUUGAUAGCAUAAAAAUUUUGCAAUUUCAAACACAAAUUUUCAUAACUUAAAUAUUUUGAUUGUCAUUUUGUACCCUGCAAUAUCAUUUAGUUUUGAAAUGAUUUGUCCUGGAAUAUUCCCAAUUUACAGCUAGUUAUAUAUAGUAUAAUAACACUAUUUAUGCAAUACAAAACUUUUUUUUCUGAUUAUAUAUUUCUGUUGAACUACCAGUCACAUGUUUUGACUUAUUGUAAGAAUGUGGUAUAAAUGUGUAUGCAUGCUAUAGGAUAUAGUAUUCUUAAAGUACUAUAAAAUUGAUCUGUGUUCUUGUGUUCUCUGUGAAAUGUUUACUGCUAUUUUAUUUCUUUUGUGUAUCAUUAUUUUCUUUACUUUAUUUAAAAAUAAUUAAUUAUUUCCUCCCUUUUCUAAUUACAAUUCUAUGGAAGUUAGGUGGUUCUCUCCAGGCAAUUCUGCUUGCUCCACCAAUAAAACUGUCUGCAAUGAAAUACCGCAUUGUGGUGUUAAACACCAAUCAAUCUGUUUACAAUUUACUACAUACACAUUGUAUUUAAAUAUGUACAAGUAUUUUGUAUAAUUUAACAGUUUUAAUGACAAUGUUUUUGCACUUGUACUGUUUUUUUAGCUAAGCUUUAGAUGUAAAGAAAAAACACUGUUAUGUUAAAAGUUUACAUUAGAAAUACAAAUUAAUGAAUGGAACAGUUUCUCCCUAAUUGGUUUUGUUUUUUCCAUAUUUUCAUGUGAGUCGCUCUUAGAUAUCUUACCAUGUCUUACAUGGAUAUCUGUAUAUAUUGAUAUUAGGAAGUAAUAGAAGCAAUUUGGAAAAUCCCACAACAGUGUCAUUAGAUCAGUUCUAUUUUAACAUAUUACAUCAUUAUGGAAAAGAAAAUUACAUGUUAAAUUUGCUUUUUGAUAUAAUAUUUUAACAGAUUUUGAAUGACAUACGUAAGUAAUCAAAAUUAGACAAGAAGUGUUUAAAAUAUUGAAAUUCUUUUCCUUUUUUCAAAAUCGUGCUCAGCAGUUAAAAAGUUGCAGGAUUUUUCAAUUUGUUUUUGAUUGGUGAUUGUGCAAUGUGUUAUAAGGGCAAUAGAAACCAAACCACCUGAUCUGAUUUGUGUGUGUCUGUGGUAUGAUUUUGUUAUUUUGUACUAUUUAUACAGCAUUUAUUUUAUAUAAUUUAUAUAUUUACAUUUAUUGUGUUAUGAAAGUUUUCUUUUGUUAAUUUUGUAACAAUAAAUUUUGUAACCAUUG